rnacentral:lncRNA from 1 species
AAAAAAAAAAAAAGAAUAUACUUUUGGGAGUUCCUGCUGUGGCACAGUGGGUUAAGGGUUUGGUAUUGCCCCAGCUGUGGCUUGGAUUCGAUCCCUGGCCCAGGAACUUCUAUAUGCCACAGGCACAACAGAAAAAGAGAAAAAAUAAGUAUGUAUCUUUACUUUCCCUAUUUUACAAAUGAGCUACCAAGAUAUGGAGAGAUUGGGUAACUUACCCAGUGUUAGAGCUGUUAAUUAAUUAACGUACAUCUGCAUUUUUUGUAUGAUUCUGGCUUUGUAUGAGUCUGGAGAUUGUUUCAAUGAAACAUGCCUAUAAGGAUUUGCAUAUAUACUCAUUAGGCUGAGAUGCAAGUAACAGAAGAACUCAAAAUGACAGCAGGUUAGUUUGUCCAUUUCUCUUGUGUUUAAAAGAUCUGGAGAGGGGCAAUCCAGAGCUGGUAAGGUAUUCUGUGGUUUUAGGGUCUCAGGCUUAUCUUGUUGCCUUGCCAAUAUGUGGCUUCUAUUCCUGAAAUCACCUUAUGAAUCAAAAUAGCUGCUGGAGCACCAGUCAUCACAUCUGCAUUCUAGAAAGUAGGAAUUCACACACCAGUUCUAUUUCCUGCUUGUGUUUUGAAGUUAGUCAUAAGGUCACCUCUAGCUCAAGGAAGUCUAGGAAAUGUUCACAUUCUAGGCAUCCAUAUGUACAGCUAAAACUCAGGAAGAAGAAUAAAUAUGGGGAGUAACUUAAAUAACAGUUUUUGCCAAUGCCAUGUUUUCAGCUGCUUUCCCAUAAUUUAUAUGAAUAUCAGAAUUUUAUAUUUCUGCAUCCAAUGAUAUUCAGAUGAUUUUAAAAAAUCAACUCAGAAGAACCUCUUUAAAAUGUUGCUAAUUAUACAUUCAGAUAUUUCAUAAAACAAAAUAGAGCACUGAAUCGAACAUGACAUAAAGCAAAAUCUUGAUAUUAUCAUUGUCUACUACACAGGGAUCAGUCCUGCAAAGAGGUUCUGCUGUUGAGGAAUAUAUAUAUAUAUAUAUAUUUUAAAAUUUUAAAUUGAAAUAUAAUUGACUUACAAUGUUGUGUUAGUUGCAGGUAUAUAGCAAAGUUAUUCCUGUGUGUGUGUGUAUGUGUGUGUGUGCAUAUUCUUUUUGCCUUCUUUCCCAUAAUGGUUUAUUACAGGAUAUUGAAUAUAAUUGCCUGUGCUAUACAGUAGGACAUUGUUGUUUCUUUUCUUUCUUUCUUUGUAUGUGUGUGUGUGUGUGUGUGUUUUCUUUUUAGGGCCAUACCUGUGGCAUAUGGAAGUUCCCAGGCUAGGGGUCAAAUCAGAGCUGCAGCUGCUGGCCUAUGCCACAGCCACAGCAAUACCAGAUUUGAGCCACAUCUGCAAAAUACGCUGCAGCUUGUGGCAACACAGUGUCCUUAACCUACUGAGUGAAGCCAGGGAUUGAACCCAUUUUCCCAUGGACACUACAUUGGGUUCUUAAUCCACCAAGCCACAAUGGGAACUCCAUAAAUUGGUUUUCCAUGUCUGUGCAUCUGUUUCUAUUUUGUAAAUAAGUUCAUUUGUAUCAUAUUUUUGAUUCCACAUACAAGUGAUAUCAUAUGAUAUUUGUCUUUCUCUAACUUCACUUAGUAUGAUAAUCUCUAGUUUCAACCAUGGCAUUAUUUUGUUCUUUUUUAUGGCUGAGUAGUAUUCCAUCAUAUAUAUGUACCACAUCUUCUUUAUCCAUUCAUCUGUUGAUGGGCAUUUAGGUUGCUUCCAUGUCUUGGCUAUGAACAUUGGAGUGCAUGUGUCUUUUCAAAUUAUAUUUUCAGAUAUAUGCCCAGGAGUGGGAUUGUUGGAUUAUAUGGCAACACUAUUUUUAGUUUUUGAGGCACCUCCAUGCUGUUUUCUAUAGUGGCUGCACAAAUUUACAUUCCCACCAACUGGGUAAGAUGGUUCCCUUUUCUAUGGAGGAAUAUUUUAAUAGGCAUGCUUUCAUGUUCUUUUAUAAUUUUUUCCCACUGCUUAACCAUUGACUAGAAGCCACAAGAGAAAAAGUUUCCUAGGUUCUCACUCUUUCCUUUAUACUUUUCCAAAAUCCAAGUUAGAAUGUAUAUAACCAUGAACAUUCAUUCAUUUAUCCAAUAAAAAAUUCUAGGUACUGUGCUGAGCAUCUUAUUAGUGGCGCUAAUAAUAACAUAACUCUGUGCUUUGUUUACUUGUCAAAAGUUUUAUAUGCUUACCAUCUGCUUUGAUCCACAUAUCUGGGAAUAUCAAUGUGCAAAAUCACAGAAGUCCUGGUGCAAUGAUCCAACAUUUUUUCAUUUGAUCAAGUACUGCUUAAGUCUCACUAUUCUAGGCACUGCUUAGAUGUGCAUAGAGGAAAUUCAGUAAAUGACACCUCUUCACACUGCCCGAGUUCAGAACAAAUUCAGGGGUAACAAUGAGAUCUGGUGUGCUCCCAGCUGGGAUUGCCUAGCUUCGCAGUGGCUGAAAGUACCUAUUUUUUGAAGCAUGUAUUUAUAUAGCUUACAUGUCGAGUGGGGUGGGGAUGCAUAGGUUGGAAGACUGAGAACAAUUUGCAGAGCUGACCUCUAUGUCCAACACCUCGCUACUUCUACUGUCCAAGCUAGAAGGGAAAUGGAGGAGCUUCCAGCUUAGAGGGUUUCAGAGUGUUUUACUAGAAUCCUUGGACUUUCCUGGAGGUGCUUCUGGGGCUGCCUUGCGGGGAUGAGAGGAAGCUGAGUAGAUGGGCUCCAGCCCUGACCCCAGUGUAACCAGAACACCCCCACAAUUAUUUGUGUUCCCCACUGGGAUUGCUUGUGAAAUUAAUUCAGGAGCAAAGGUAGAGAAGGUUUACCUUGUCAAAUUCAUUUUAAAAUUACUCGUUUUGUCAAAAUUAAAUUUUAAAACCACUUUAUCUUUCCCAACAUCCUUAUUUUAUAAAUAAGGAAGCUGACACCCAGCAAAGUUCAAAUUACUUGAUCAAGCAGCAGACUACAACUGAGUUCCCCAAUACCCUCCCUUCCUGUUACCCCUAUGUUGUUAUUCUUGAAUUAAUGCUCAAUUUCCAUAGAUUGUGAAAGGGAGGAUUUCCUCCAAAGGUUCAUCUCUGCAAGGUUGAAUUUCUUUGAAACACCUCCACAUCCAGGAACUUCCCACUAGGAAAACAUUAGGGUUUAUAAACCCCAGUGCAGAGAGGAAGGAACUAAUGCAACUGAAAAUUCUAAAGGUAUAUGGACUUUAGGUUUGGUUUGAUCAGGGCUCUCCUUCUGUAAUCUUCCACUGACUAACUCAGUCUAAUUCCCCACAUGAUAGUUGUCUGAGGAGACAAACAUGAAAAUCCUGAAAUCAUCCCAACUUUGGUUUGACCGGCUCAUCUCUGAACCAAUAAUUUCAGCAAGCUGUCUUUGUUUCUAAGAACAAUCGCCUUGCUUUGUUGGUGUCUGCCUAAUGCUCCCUUGAUCAUGCCAAUGUUUAUUGACAGUUUAAAAGUAUCUCUUUAAUUUAAUUAUUUUACAUGAUCUAGUGAUAUAUUUCUCUCCCCCGCCCCUUCCCCGCCAGUUCCUCCUUUUCUGCUAAAAGAUUACCUGUGGUGUUUUCUUCCUAGUACCAUGAGAUUUAGAGUUCCAUAUGGUGUUCCACUAAUGUUGGCCUCAUUUUUGGCAUUGUCCAACCUGGACAGUGGGGUGGAAUUGCUCAGCAUUUGCAGCUUUCACCAUUAACGUGAUCUCAAGUGUGGUCUGCUCUUAUUUCCUAAUUGAUAGGAUGGAGUUUAUAUUUCUUCUGCAGCAUUUCGUGAGUAUCCUCUAUGAGAAUGACUGUGGCAUGUGGGGUUGGGAGAAACGUGGCCAGCGUCAUCGUGAGCUGAGAGGUUGUUCAGGGAAACUAAUAUCACCAGAUCUCUCUGGCUCCAAAUACCAUGUCUGCUCCCCCCCACUUCCUCAGCCAGGGGAUGGGGGCUUGGGAUUGGGGCUGUGGGAUAUGUCUUAGACUCUGAAUGUUUGGGACAUCCUUGUGUGUUCUAUUUUGUCUGGAUUCGCAGCUCAUCCCUUCAAUCAAGAUGACCUGUAUCUUGGUGCCUAAGGAUAAUAAAAAAGGAUAAAGCUGGCUUGGGGCAGAGGAGCCCUAAAACACAAGUGAGGGGUGAUGAGGAGCCAUGAGAAAAGGAUGAGAGUGAGGCCCCAUCAGAGGAUUUGGGAAUGGAAGGCCUGGGUUCUUGCUCUUAAGAGAAAUGGGAAGGUAAGGAAGAGAAUUGGGAACUCUUUGGGGAUUUUUAGGAAGAUCUCAGUCAAAACCCUGCCCAGUUGUAAUUUCAUUUGCAAAAGGUUGAACGCAACAAAUAAUUCAAAAGAAAAAAAUGCCGUAAGAGCAACAGCUUUUAUGGCAGUGUCUAUAUACCUGUACACAAUGCUGUAUUUGCUGUAAUAGCGAAAAACAAAAAGCAUUUUGAAUGUUUAGGGCAGAGAGACAAUAAAAUAAACCAAGAUAUCAAUACAGUGAAAUAUUACACAUCUUUUGUAAGAAACACGUAUGAUAAAUCUUUAGAACUGUGGUGGCCAAUACUGGAUUCACUUAGCCACAAGUGGGUGUCUAAAUUUGCAUUUAAAUGAAUUAAAAUAAAAUAAGACAAAAAUUGAGUUCUGCAGUUACACUAGCUCCACUCUAAGUGCUUAAGAGCCACGUAGGGCCAGUGGCUACUGUUAAAGUACCAUUAAAGUAUUGAAUAUUGUCAUUAUCACAGGAAGUUCUAUUGGACAGUGAUGGUCCAGAAAGUUGGAAAAAGUGUUUGCAGAUGAUUGUUCAAAUGAAACAAAAGUAGAAUGAGAAGCACACACACUGAUUAUACCUACAUAAAAAUCAUAUACAUGCCUGGAUACAGAUUAGUUAAGGAGGAAUUAAAAUUAUUUCCACAAGAUAAAUAAAUACACCAGGUGGAAUUAAAAGUAACAUUUAGGUCUAGCAUUCGAUAAAAAAUACAUGGAAUUUUGUAAAACACUCCUUUUUUUUUUUUUUUUUUUUUUUUUUUUUCUUUUUCGUUUUACAGCUCACCUGUGGCAUAUGGAAGUUCCCAGGCUAGGGGUCGAAUCAGAGCUGUGCCUGGAAGCCUACACCACGGCCACAGCAACAAGGGAUCCAAGCCACAUCUGUGACUUAGCCAAAGCUUGAAGCAAUGACAGAUCCUUAAUCCACUGAGUGAGGCCAGGGAUUGAUCCCGAAUCUUCAUGGAGAAAACAUGGGGGUCUUAACCCACUGAGCCACUGUAGGAACUCCGGAAAACACUCUUUGGAAAGCCAAUUGUACAUGCUGCUCCUGGGCUAAACAUGAGAAGCUAUAGAUGUGGCAUCAGAACCUGGGAGAGUAAGAUUCUAAUGCUGGCCCUGCGACUAAAACAGCCCUAUGAUGUCAUGGAAGACACAGCAGGUCUCCUGGCCUCUUUCAUCAGUUGAUCUCUAAGACCUCUUCUGGCUUAAAGGGAUGGUUGUGUUUGCCUUCAUGGAGGACACGUGUUCAAGGGGCCUGUUAUGCUCAUCCUCGGGAGGCUAUAGGAAUAGAGGGAUGGGGUGAGUUUUCGGGAAGUGGGGAAAUUCAGCAGAGUCUGGGGAUACCCGUGGAUCCCACAGACAAAGGAAGACAAGUAGAAGGGCUUCCUAAGGAUGGAGAAGCUGGUCAGCUACAAGAUGGGAGAUUCGAAAUCCAGACACUAAAGACCUAUUAGAAAAAUUACAUCUGUUUUUAAUAAAUGUUAGAGGUUACUUUGAUCAGAACCUAAGUGAAACUGCAAACUCAGCUGAGAAAAUCCCAGUUCUGUCUGGUUCCUCAGAAACUCCGCCCCCUCUUUUUCCGGCCAGCCCGCUCUCUAGUUACAAGUGGUUCACCAAACACCCUCCCACUGGCUGGCUAGUAACACUCCUGGGUAGGGCAAUUCCUCCAUUUGUUCAACUACUUCUCUGAUGUCAGAUCAUAAAAUCAUACUUCUUGAAAAUCACUUAUUCUUGAACAUUUCCUCCCUGAAUUGAUUUUACAGUUAUAGCAUUUUAUCUAAACUGUUUCAUACUUCUUUUUAAACUUGGACGUUAGGUAGCGUUUCAUCCCAUUUUCCUCUUUGUGUAUUUUUCUAUUAAACAUCACACAGAGAAAUGCUUCUACUGAAUAAGGGAUGUUAUCCUCCACCUGUAUGCGUUUGUAACAACUACACACUCACACACCUUUGAGAUAUAUGUACGCUAUGGGGCACUUUCCUGUUUACACUUUCAUUGCACAUUUAAACAAAGCAAACGAACUGAAUCUGUACCUUUAGAAACCCUUUCUUGGUGCAAAAAAAAAUGCAUGAGUUGGUGCAUAAAUACGUGUUUGAUCUACACAUUCAUUGAAUAAUGAGUCACUUAUUAUAUGGGAGAUCAAAGUUGAAACAUACACGCUUCGUCCUAUGGAGCUGCUAAUCAAAUAGACAUACACUGGGAUCAUUUCUGAAUAGCUCCCAAGUUAGAAGAAAAUUGGAUCCCCCAAAUAUAUUUUAAAGCCAGUGGCUCAGAACCCAAAAGGUUUUUUUCCUUAUAAAAAUUAUACAAUUUUUUGGAGUUCCCGUCGUGGCACAGUGGUUAACGAAUCCAACUAGGAACCAUGAGGUUACAGGUUCGAUCCCUGGCCUUGCUCAGUGGGUUAAGGAUCUGGCAUUGCCAUGAGCUGUGGUGUAGGUUGCAGACGCAGCUCAGAUCCCACGUUGCUGUGGCUCUGGUGUAGGCCAGCAGCUAUAGCUCCCAUUAGACCCCUAGCCUGGGAACCUCCAUAUGCCACGGGAAGCGGCCCAAGAAAAGGCGAAAAGACUAAAUAAAUAAAUAAUAAAAUAAAAAUUAUCCAAUUUUGAUAGUUUUCAAGUCUCCCACAAAUGACUGAAUGCAUACUGUACCCUGAGGGUAACUAUAUGUAGCGUUAUUUAAUUCUGUUUACCAAUACAUUUAUGGCCUACCUUGUGAGAAACCAGAAUACAAAGACGAGUAAGGCGUAUUUCUUGCUCGCAAGCAGCGGGUAGUCUGGUAGGGAAAGCAAACCAGUAAACACAAAACUGCUUGCGGGCACAAUGGGUGCUAAGAGGGUCCAGGAAACUUCAUGGAGAGCACUGAUACCAACCUGCCAAGUUCACGGGCACCGUUGCUUAGGAUCAAAACGGAGGCCUGGAGCGCAGUUUCCACUGACAGAGCUGGUGGUAGAAGAGGAAGGAUCCGCCUCUUCCGAUUUGCUGAUCAGGCUGUUCUGAAGCAUGAGCUCCAAGGUAGUAAGAUCAUCGUUCAAAGCAAAGGCUUCAGGACCUGUCAAAGCAGGACUUCCUGCCAGUGCCUCUCUGCAGGCUGACUUCCUAUUUUCCCCUUAGUCUACAUCAGGAACCGAGAGGGAUAGCCUGGUUUUCUCCCACUGCCAGCACCACUGAUUUCUUCCCUUUUCUGGCCCACUGUGCAGUUAAGAGUAGCCCAAGAGUGCUUCUCACUGCCUUUAGGAUGAAAUCCAAACUCCCUUCCGGGCUGGUCCUCAUCUACCUCUCCAUCCUCCGCCGGCCACACCCCAUCAUGUUCUCUUUGCUACAUCGACGCUGUAUUCGCUGUGGUUCCUCCAGGAAGCCCUGCUCUCCGGGCUUUCCUCCAAUCUCCUAUUUAUACUCUUCCUUUGGCUUCAAGAUUUUCCCUUCUUUUCUUGGACUGGCUGAAUCCCUGGUCAUUCAUCCAUUCCCAGCUUUCAUGUCACCUCCUUAGAGAGCUCUUCAUCAACCCGUGAUGAAGAAGCUCUUGGGUGACCCAACACUUCCCUGAUCUUAGUCUUCAUCACACUUCAUAUGAUUACUCCUUUCACUCCUGCCUUCCGUGCACUUUGGAGCGAGUGUGCAGACCACACGCCUGGCUCACCACUGCAUUCCAGAGUCUGGUCUAUAAUUUGAUGGAUGCAGGGUGGCUUCAUGGGUGUGCCACCUGUGUAGUCAUACAGGGCCUCAUGCUCAGAAAGGUGAGUGUAUGUGGAGAAAAGGGAACCCUUCUACACUGUUGAUGGGAAUGGAAAUUUAUGCAACCACUAUGGAGAAUAGUAUGGAGGUUCAUUAAAAAAACAAAUAUAGGACUACCAUAUGGCCCAGCAAUCCCACACCUGGGCAUAUAUCUAGAGAAAACCAUAAUUUGAAGAGAUACAUGCACUCCAGUGUUCACUGCAACACCAUUUACAAGAGCCAAGAUAUGCAAGCAACCUACAUGUCCAUUGACAGAGUAUUCGGUAAUGGAAUAUUAUUCAGCCACAAAAAAGGAACAAAAUACUACCAUUUGCAGCAACAUGGGUGGACCUAGAGAUUAUCUUACUAAGUGAAAUAAGUCAGACAGAGAAAGAUAAAUAUCAUAUUAGAUCACUAAUAUGUGGAAUCUAAUAAAAAAUGAUACAAAAGAACUUAUUCACGAAACAGAAAUAGACUCAAACAUUUUGAAACCAAACUUAUGGUUACCAAAGGGGAAACAGUGGGGGAAGAGAUAAAUUAGGAAAUUGGGAUUAACAUACACUAUUAUAUGCAAAAUUGAUAAGUAAAAAGACCUACUGUAUAGCACAGAGAAAUCUACCCAAUACUGUGUGAUAACCUAUAAGGGAAAAGAAUCUGACAAGGUAUAGAUAUAUGUAUAUAUACACACAUAUACUCCCUUUGCUAUACUCUUAAAACUAAUACAACAUUGUAAGUCAACGAGAAUAAAAUUUUUUAAAAAGCCAGAAAAGUGCUUCAAAGGAAGUUUGGAUAGAUUUUCUGAAGAACUUAUGUAUAAGAAAGAAAUAUAAGGAGUUCCCUUCAUGGCCUAGUGGUUAACGAACCUGGCUAGGAUCCAUGAGGAUUCAGGUUCGAUCCUUGGCCUUGCUCAGUGGGUUAAGGAUCCCGCGUUGCUGUGGCUGUGGUGUAGGCUGGCAGCGGUUACUCUGAUUUGACCCCUAGCCUGGGAACUUCCAUAUGCCAAGGAUGCAGCCUUAAAAUGCAAAACCAAAAAACAAAAAAAAAA